GUGGAUAUAGCUCAGCUGGAUAGAGCGAUCGCCUCCUAAGCGAUAGGUCGGCAGUUCAAAUCUGCCUAUUCACACCA
rnacentral:tRNA from 1 species